rnacentral:antisense_RNA from 1 species
AAUGCAAGUGUUUAACAGAUGCUUCACUAUUAAAAUAUUUUCCCCCCAAGUCUCAAAUAUUGAAGAAUCUCUAACCAGGCUCGAAACGCCGGUCUCAGUGACUAUUGAGUUACCCACCAAGUUACCCCGGUUAGAGCUGUUUGGGGUGGCUCACGUUAUUGCGGCAAACUUUGGAGAUGACGGCUGAGUCCUCUGGGCGAACAUGUCAAGCCGAUUGUAAAUGCUGUUAUUUCCACAUCCUUCAGGGACACCAGUCCCAACGAAGACCUUGGGCGAUUUCAAAGUGCGGGCACCUCGAUUCCCCGAAUCUGUAGUGUGGCUGGUAUCGGUGUUUCCCUGGUUUAACUAGCCUGCUUGCGGGCAUCUGUGGAAAGCAGGUUUAGUUAUCGGAGGGGAACCAUUAAACGCCAGUUUAAGAGGCAGGCCGGGAGGACGGCUCGUGGAUGUUUAGACUGCCGGCCUUGGUGAUCUUGAACGCAUUACAACGGAAAAUGGAUCUCCACUUGUAAGUCAC